rnacentral:rRNA from 1 species
CAGUCGCCACGGUAAUACGUAGGAGGCGAGCGUUGUCCGGAAUCAUUGGGCGUAAAGGGAGCGCAGGCGGGCAUGUAAGUCUUUCUUAAAAGUUCGGGGCUCAACCCCGUGAUGGGAAAGAAACUACAUGUCUUGAGUACAGGAGAGGAAAGCGGAAUUCCCAGUGUAGCGGUGAAAUGCGUAGAUAUUGGGAGGAACACCAGUGGCGAAGGCGGCUUUCUGGACUGCAACUGACGCUGAGGCUCGAAAGCCAGGGGAGCGAACGGGAUUAGAUACCCGUGUAGUCCCUGUCUCUUAUACA